UAGGGAAUCUUCCGCAAUGGACGAAAGUCUGACGGAGCAACGCCGCGUGAGUGAAGAAGGAUUUCGGUUCGUAAAACUCUGUUGCUAGGGAAGAAAAAAUGUAUAGUAACUAUAUACAAAAGAGACGGUACCUAACCAGAAAGCCACGGCUAACUACGUGCCAGCAGCCGCGGUAAUACGUAGGUGGCAAGCGUUGUCCGGAAUUAUUGGGCGUAAAGCGCGCGCAGGUGGUUUAGAAAGUCUGAUGUGAAAGCCCACGGCUCAACCGUGGAGGGUCAUUGGAAACUAAUAAACUUGAGUGCAGGAGAGAAAAGUGGAAUUCCUAGUGUAGCGGUGAAAUGCGUAGAGAUUAGGAGGAACACCGGUGGCGAAAGCGGCUUUUUGGCCUGCAACUGACACUGAGGCGCGAAAGCGUGGGGAGCAAACAGG
rnacentral:rRNA from 1 species